UACGUAGGGACCAAGCGUUGUUCGGAAUUACUGGGCGUAAAGCGCACGUAGGCGGCUUCUUAAGUCGGUGGUGAAAUCCUGGAGCUCAACUCCAGAACUGCCUUCGAUACUGGGAGCUCGAGUCCGGGAGAGGUGAGUGGAACUGCGAGUGUAGAGGUGAAAUUCGUAGAUAUUCGCAAGAACACCAGUGGCGAAGGCGGCUCACUGGCCCGAUACUGACGCUGAGGCACGAAAGCGUGGGGAG
rnacentral:rRNA from 1 species